CAUGCUUGUUGAGUCCUCGGGUGCCUCGGAAGCCUGGCGGAUGGACAAACGCCCUCAUCUCCGCAGAGGACUCAGCCUGUGAUUGUUCGCAGGAACGGAAUUUGGGAUUGAUGUUGGAGGCUUAGUUUGAGUGUAUUCCUCAGUGGCAGCGAGGAUUCCCAGCCUUCACUGUGGUCUUCCUGACACCCUGCUUCACUCAUUCACGCUGCCUGGUCCCUGACGACGCUUGAAUCUAAGAAUUCUACAUUGAAGUUCCUGGGCCUUGACUUUCCAUGUGGAAAGAUUUUUAGAAACUUACCCAGAUCAGCAUUUCCCCAUCUUUCAUGGAAUAAAAGAGAUAAUCACCAAAGAGUGGUUGCUGGUUGAUAGACACUGAAGUCAGAAAGAUCAAUAAAAAUGAAGAACCAGAGUCCAGGUCUGAUGCUUUUCCUGCCAUCACUUCCAAAGUAGCCUUUUCCAUGCGUCCAGGUAACGCAUGGGCUUUCAAUCCAAGAUUAAAAACAUCUGCUAGAGGAAUUGUCAAACAGUCUUGGAACACUUAGUUGAAUUCACAGGAACUCCAUCUGGGACUGGUGAUACUUACUUCUUUCAUAUCUUUAAUUGUUUCUAGCACCUCCGUAGAUCAAAGUUCUCUCCAUAAUCCUUUCUUUCCAUCAUGGCAUAUUUACCCAUUUUAUAUCAAAAUAUAUAAUCUUUACCAUCUGGUUUCAUAGAGGAAUAUAAAUCUUUAUCAAAGUAGAUUAACAUUAAGUAACUUUUUUUCAGCGCUGUGUGACUGCAUUUCUUUCUUAUGUGCAAAUUUAAGGAAAUCAUCCCCUCUUCUCUUCCAUGGUAAAUUUUAAAUUUAGAAACAAGAUUCCUGAGCUUUUCUAACUGUGGAGUAUUUUUACAUGCCUUGUGCUUGAAUGUAGAAGUUCAAAGGAAGUUAGUAUUUUGUUACCCUUCAUCUUCUGUAUUAGAAUGAUAUAUAGUGUUCUCACAACACAGUCUUGAUUGUAAUUUUGCACAUUUGCAAAUCUAUGUCAUGCCACAAGCUAUAAACAUUUAAAAGACUCGAUUAGGUUUUAAUAAUUUUUAGUACUUGGCCCAGUGACACUCAAUAAAUUAUUAUAUUAAUAGCACAUUAAAUUAUUAUGC